UCACGAUCACCCACUGAAUUUAAGCAUAUUAUUAAGUGGAGGAAAAGAAAAUAACCAUGAUGGUGAGAGUAACAGCGAGUGAAAACACCAAGAGUGAGUCCAACAUGAAAAUCUCACCCUCUGUAAAAAAGGGAGUGAGAGUUGUAAGUAACAACAGCACGGCCUCUCAAAGUUGAAGCGAUGGAAAUUGCAGUGAAACAUGCAAUCACAGAAGGUGAAAAUCCUGUGUCCAUCCAAGAAAAGAGAAGGGCUGAUGGUGUUUGAGAGUCGAAUUAUUUAGUAGUAUAAUUCCAAGGCGAUAUUAAACUUUAUCCAAGGCUAAAUAUGAAAAGGAUACCGAUAGCGAAGAAGUACCGUGAGGGAAGGAUGAAAAGGAUACCGA
rnacentral:rRNA from 14 species